AUUCCACAGGCUUGGAUAGUAUACACUCAUCUGAGUUGCAUGCUCCUGUAGUUGUUCCUGUUAUUCCUGUGCUUCAUAUCAACCCUGCACAUCCUCUUUCUUUGCUCUGGAAUCACCGCUCUGAAACAGAGCCUUAAGGAAUCUGCUCCUCGGAAUAUGCUCCUACUUCUUUGUCAAAUGUCUUCCCUGCAGUCCUUUAGAGAAAGAUUCAUGAUGCAUUUUUGGACUCCGAGCAACCCUGUGCUUGGAUUCGCUAGAGUAGCUGCACUGCCCAAUCAGCCAUCCUUUUGCUUCCUUUAUGUGUUAUAUCACUCUAUGCCCAAUGUAGCUGUCAGGAGAGUCUUUGUUUUUCUCUGUCAUUACCACCUGCUCCUAAUUCUUGGAGAUCCGUACCCACCAAAGUCACAGGGGAGCCACUAGAGAUGGGUCACUGCUUGGGACUGGAAUCAUAGAACCAUUGAAUCACAAGGUUAGAAAGGACCUACAAGAUCAUCUAGUCCAACCGUCCUCCCAUUACCAUUGCUACCACAAGCCACUAAACCAUAUCUCGUAGCGCCUCAUCCAGAUGCCUCUUAAACACUGCCAGGGAUGGCGACUCCACCCCCUCCCUGGGCAGGCCAUUCCAGUGCCUGACCAUUAGAUUAAUGUGAGUACUUAAAUUAAAAAACAUGGGUAUACAUGAAAUAUAGAAUCAUAGAAUGAUAGAAUCAUUAAGGUUGGAAAAGAUCUUUAAGAUCAUCCAGUCCAACCAUCAGUCCAUCACCACCAUGCCCGGUAAUGACAAGCCUCAUUGUCUGGUACCAUCACUUUAUCACAGAAUGAACUUGAUAUUGGUCAGUACAACAAGGACGUAUGAGUAAGGGUGAGAAGAGCUAGAUCUGUUGUACCAUAACACCAGCUGCCAAACAAAUGGGUGUAUACAGGCUCCGAAUACAUUUGGGAUGGAAAUUUGGUGGCUUCCAACCUUCAGAGAAGUUCCAAGAUAACACUCUAAAGGUGAGAUGAGGACAAGACACUGAUGCUCACCUUGAUGACGUUAGGCAGGCUUGUGUGAAAUAGUGGCUUUAGGAGGAGGAGAGCAGACACAGUGACCCAGCCCUUUCUUCUGAACAUUGGAGACCAUUUGCAUUUUCGAUUGGCUGCAGAAUUAACCUGGAACAGAACUAACCCCUGGACAAUGGGAAGCAUUAAGUAUCGCUGUGAUGAUGAUGCAUCCUAAUUGUUUUUCUCUCUGUGUCUCUCCACAACCCACUUCUGAGGUGGGGGCUGAGUUGUUCAUCCCAGCCCCAUUGCCUCUACCUCCCUGUGUUCGGGCCACCACAGGCAGCAUCACAGCUCUCCUCCCCCUGCUGGCACCCCUUCUCACUUGGCCAGCUCAGCCUGAUAUGGAUUAAGGAGCUCUCAUAUGAUCCCUGCAGCCGGUAGAGCUGGUACGACCACUGGGAAAGGCAAUAGAAAGCUGCUGGAAGGCAGAAGCCUGCAGCUGGCACAGCCUUGUUGCAAUGUGACCCCUGAUCUUUGCUUCAGAUCUUCCUCUGGCCUUGUGGGAGCGUGCUGCGUCAUUUGGCCUUGGCCGCGCUGCGAUUAACUCGCGAGGGUGAACUCCAAGCAGUGCAAUCGCCCCAUGCGGGUGUGCGAGGCUGUUGUAAAGGCGAUUACAGACAAGUGCUUUAUUGGCAUGCCCUGAGCUUAUCGAGGCUGUAACGUUGGGUAGUUUUUGGAGGGCAGCUACUACAAACGCCGAGGAGUUGAAUGAUCCAGACAUAAAGCAGGUCACUCAUGUCACAGCUUGUUGGUGAGCUGCCAACAAGCACCCUCCCCAGGAAUGGCUGUGGCCCUAAGGGUAGUCUGUGCACUUUUAUGGAACCUGGAGGAUCCUAAGCCCCGGGGCUGCCUUGCCGGAGUGGCAGCAGCCUAUCCUUCUGCCCCCGGGUUGCAGCUACAGCUGCAUGCAUGCACGUGACUGUGGGUAACCAGGCACAGAACUGCUUCCAGUCUCCUAAUAGUGUUUUUCUGGCCACAAAUAGCAAGUAGAGAUGCCUAUCUCUCAUCUGUGUUCCCAGCCGCGCUGCUGGUGCACACAAGCAAGGCUGCGGCACUGGGAAGUACUGUUCUAAUGCAAGCUGGUGUUUAACAGCACAGUGUGUGUGUGUUCUGCUGAGGUAGGGAGUCCGAGGGAGAAAAGAAUUAAACCUCACUUUUCAGGGCUGUUAGACAGAUAUUUCCCUGACGCUCUGGCUGUGAGGCAGGCAGCCACCAGAGCUCCGUUAUGGGUGGUACCCACAGAAUGGCACAGUGACAGCUCUGUGCUACCACUCCUGCCAGCCCCCACAGCAGGAGCACUCAGAACACAUGGAUUGGGCUCCCACAGCUGGCUUGGUGGCCAUUUGAUCAGAGCACUGAUUUGGGGCUUUUUCCCACAUUUGCUGACCUCCAAAGUCAUUUAUUUCAGACUCGGGCUCUGGCCAGCUGCGGGAACACAGCUCAAAGCUGACCUAUUGCCACCUCUGCCAGCCUGCUUGUGCACAGUGAGCAACUGAAUCAUAGAAUCACAGAAUCAUAUAAAGGCUUGGGUCAGAAGGGACCUCCAAAUACAUCUAUUUCCAAUCCCCUGCUGUGUGUGGACUGAUUGCCACUCAUCAGGUCAGGCUGCCCAGGGCCCAUCCAACUUGGCCUUGAUCACCUCCAGGGAUGGGGCACCCACAGGUGCUCUGGGCAGUCUGUGCCAGCGCCUCACUGCCCUCUGAGUAAAGAAUUUCUUCCUUAUAUCUAACCUACAUCUCCCCUAUUUUAGUUUAAAACAGUUAAAGCAGAUCUGACCCACCUGGCUCUCCUGGCUCAUACCACGGGGCACGCAAGGCAUCUUUUACCCAUCCAGCACUCUGUGCCUGGCUUAAACCGCAAGACCACGGGCUUACAAUAUGGAUGAAGCCCCAUUCAUACGUGUCACAUGGUGACACAUUUUAGACAUUACUUUGAAAGAUUUAGACUGGAUAUAAGGAAAACGUUAAUUACCGUGCGGGUGGUGAGGCACUGGAACGGGUCACCCAGAGAGGUGGUGGAUGCCCCAUCCCUGGAAACACUCAAGGUGAGGUUGGGCAGGGCUCUGAGCGCCUGCUGUAGCUGUAGGUGUUGGUGCUCAUUGCAGGGAGUUGGCCUGGAUGGCCUUUAGGGGUCCCUUCCAAGUGAAAGACGCUAUGGCUCUGCAGUUCUUUGCGACCACACUGAGGUGGGUGCGGGGCUCACCGGGUAACUCAAGCUGUGCGUGCAGCUGGGACCCGUGGCAAGGUGUCAGGGGCACUCGUUGGAGAGAGCAAAAAUAGUGCAAAAAAUAAAAACAAAAAUCACAGAACGCUGAAGCUUUCAGUUCCAGCCCGGAACUGAGGAUACCUUUCAUUUUUACAUAGUUGUUAAAUAAACAGAAAGGGAAAAUCGUGUUUAUUUCGUCCUUAUUUCUCCGUGAUUUUUUUUUU
ensembl:lncRNA